rnacentral:rRNA from 1 species
UACGUAGGGUGCAAGCGUUUGUCCGGAAUUAUUGGGCGUAAAGGGCUCGUAGGCGGUCCAUCACGUCGGGAGUGAAAAGCUGGGGACUUAACCCCAGUCCUGCUUCCGAUACGGGUGGACUAGAGGUAGGCAGGGGAGAACGGAAUUCCUGGUGGUAGCGGUGAAAUGCGCAGAUAUACAGGGAGGAACACCGGGUGGCGAAGGCGGUUCUCUGGGCCUUACCUGACGCUGAGGAGCGAAGCGUGGGGAGCAAACAGG